UUCUUGUACAUGCGUAUCUUUGCAAUCAAGUAUUCCAUUGUCUACAUAGUUGAUUUAGUCAUUUUAUUUACUUUUUGCCGGAGGAGUAGUAUGAGGCAGUUUGUAGGUGUUCUUAAAAGUUUAGAACUCAAUUAUUGCUUAUUCAAAGAAAAACUUCCUACAUGCUUAAUAACAUGUCCAUUUGAACUGCAUCAAAUUAACUUAAAUUAGAAUAAUUUAAAGUAAAAUAAGCACAUCACAGCAUACUUUCUUAUUUUUUAUUUAAAGGAUACCACACUUGAGGAAAGAUACAAGAAGAGGCCCAGUCUCUCUCUGGAACGUGAAGAACAGGAUGGGAUCUAAGAUGUGCUAAGGAUGACACCACAGCAUGGCCUGAUGAGUGAUGAUAGAUCUGCACCCAAGAUCUGAACCUGUGAACCCUUGGCCGCUGAAGCAGAGUGCGUGAACUUAACCGCUAUGCAACCAGGCCAGCCCCCAGCUCUAAUUUUUAAAAGAAGAGAGCUGAUAUAAAUCUAUCCUACAUCUUGUGUGACUGAAAUAUUUAUUGAUUCCAACACACUGUGAAUGCUUAUUUAAAGAUUACCCCAUUAGUUAUUUCCACUGCACAUGUGCUCACAAACACACACACACACACUCUCAUGGAUUUCAGUUAUUAGUAUACAAUGCCUAAAUGUAUUGGUAGUCAACCCAAUGUAUAAAGUGACAAGGAUAUUUCUGGAACUUUUGAAAUUUUAAUAUUAUAAUGGAGUUCUUCUUCCUGUUUCCUCAAGAGUUUUCUGAUUCCCCUAGUGUGGUGGAUGAGUAAUGGCCCCUCAAAGAUGUGCACAUCCUACUCCCCAGAAUGUGAGCAUAUGUUACCUUACAUGGCAAAAGGGACUUUGUCAAUGUGAUUAAGUUAAGGAUCUUGAAAUCAGGAGAUUAUCCUGGAUUAUCCAAUUGUGCGUAAUAUAAUCACAAGGGUCUUAUAAGAGGUAGGAGUCAGAGAAGGUGAUGUGAUGACAGAGAUGGGGGAAAAAAGGAUAUGUGACAAUGGAAGCAGAUGUUGAAGUGAUACAGGGCUAUGAGCUGAGCAAUAUGGUAGCCUCGAGAAGCCAGACAGGCAAAGAAACAGAUUCUCUCCUACAGCAUCCAGAAGUUGCCCUGUUGACGAUUUUAUUUUAGCCCAAUGAAAUGCACUUUAGCCUUCUCAGCUCCAGAACUAGAAGAUGAUAUACUUGCCUUAUUUUAAGCCAUUAAUUUUGUAGCAAUUUGUUACAGCAGCAAAAGGAAAGAAUACACCUAGCAUUAGUAUUUUCUAGCUUAACUCUCCAGUUUUAUCAGAUGAUGUCCCCAGUGAAUCAUUAUCUUCUCUGAAUAUAUUACUCCACUGGGAGUCUCAAACAGGCAGUCCACAUGUCCUUAUUCUGGACAGCCUGUUUAUUCCAGGAGACUCUAUACAUUCAUUCACCUUCAUGGAGUACAUGCAAUAAGUUGGUUUAGGCUUGGCUUUAAAUAGACCAAAUAGCCACAUUUUUUUUACCUUCGUACUACGUGAAACUGGAGACUACAAUCCAAGAUAGUGGCUUUUGCUAGGAGACAUAUAUAUAACACAAAAAUAACUGGAAACUUUAGCAAAUAAUAAAAAUCUUUGGUCACUUUAGCAAAUCACAUUUUCAACACAUGUAUAAGUAUGCCCAUAUAUGUUUUUACAAAAGUUAUACAUUUUUAAUGUAUAUAAUGCUUUGGCCUUUCUCUUCUAUAUUUUAAUCUUAACGACAGAAGGCUAUACAAAUAGUGGUC
rnacentral:lncRNA from 1 species